rnacentral:rRNA from 1 species
UACGAAGGGGGCUAGCGUUGCUCGGAAUCACUGGGCGUAAAGGGUGCGUAGGCGGGUCUUUAAGUCAGGGGUGAAAUCCUGGAGCUCAACUCCAGAACUGCCUUUGAUACUGAAGAUCUUGAGUUCGGGAGAGGUGAGUGGAACUGCGAGUGUAGAGGUGAAAUUCGUAGAUAUCGAGAGGAACACCAGUGGCGAAGGCGGCUCACUGGCCCGGUACUGACGCUGAGGUGCGAAAGCGUGGGGAGCAAACAGG